CUCUUUCCAUAGGUGAUGAGUCACAGGGCUCAGGGAAUGUGUCUGCACCUGUGACUCAUCACCAGUGGAAAGCC
rfam:Pan troglodytes isolate Yerkes chimp pedigree #C0471 (Clint) chromosome 6, whole genome shotgun sequence.